UGGCUGAGGUUAGAGCGUCACAUUGACAUUGUGGAGGUCAGAGGUUCGAGUCCUCU
rnacentral:tRNA from 1 species